rnacentral:rRNA from 1 species
GGGAGGUAGUGGACAAUAAAUAACAAUACAGGGUUCUUUAGGAUCUUGUAAUUGGAAUGAGUACAAUUUAAAUCUCUUAACGAGGAACAAUUGGAGGGCAAGUCUGGUGCCAGCAGCCGCGGUAAUUCCAGCUCCAAUAGCGUAUAUUAAAGUUGUUGCAGUUAAAAAGCUCGUAGUUGAACUUCGGGAUCAAUGGAUUGGUCAUGCCGUUGGUAUGUACUGGUCAUAUUGGUUCUCACCUUCUAAGGAACCAUAAUGUCAUUCAUUUGAUGUUUUGGGGAAUUAGGACUGUUACCUUGAAAAAAUUAGAGUGUUUAAAGCAGGCUAACGCUUGAAUACAUUAGCAUGGAAUAAUGAAAUAGGACAUCGCAUUCUAUUUUGUUGGUUUCUAGGAUCGAUGUAAUGAUUAAUAGGGAUAGUUGGG